CACUGUCUUUUAGGGUGUGCUGGGGUCUAGGAUCCUGGGUCUUUGGAAUAAUCUGACCAGAGCUGGAAAGUCUACCUUCCCCAUGGGGAAUGAAGAGUCUCACCCAGGCUCUGAACCAACCUCUUAAAUAUGCAGUGCCCAGCUGAGGGCCAAGGGUAGGAGGGGCCUGCCCACUCCCAAUCUGAGGCUGACUGACCACCCCAGACCUUCCAUGUUCCCUGAAAAGCAACACUUCAGUCACAAGACCCCAGGAUACUGUCCUCUCCUCCCCGGUUAAAAGCACAUCCUCCAUAGCAGGAAAGCCCCUGUCAUAGAAUUCAGUCUUCCUGCAGUCCCGCCUCCCCAGCAGGGCCUCUUCCUUUACCUUAUGGGCCCCUCCCUGAGCCGUGAUCCCCAGGAGCACUCUUCCCCUUCACGCCUUACCCUCCUCCCUGUGAGCACCGGAGCUGAAGCCCCCAGCAUUCCUGCUGCCCAGCGCCACAGCUGGCUUUGGUGUGGGGAGCUUCCAUACCUGCUCUGCAGACAGAGGGGCCCCAUAGCUUCCCUUCAGCACACUUCCGCACUUCCUGGAGCAGCCUCUUUAUCUCCUUCUCCCACAUCAGUCCCCAAAGGGGUCUGAGGUCAGGUGCAUCAAGUCUUGAGAGAGACAUCUCCAGCUUUAAAAGUAAGACUUUUGGCAUGUUGGUAACUGGGAACUGUCAGAUCUAGUCUGUCCAUAGAGACAGAGUUGGAUGGGGGCUCCUGGAGUCCCGUUCCCAGGUCUGAGCCCACUUUGCUUACCUGCCCUGCCCCUCCCUCCUCAGCCAAAUAUGACUGGGCAAAGUCCUCUCUCUGUGACAACAUAUAUAGAAUUUGUGGAGGGAGUGGAGGAAAAUUUGUAUCUUUUUAUUUCCCAGAAAAGAAACAUGCAUUUGAUCAUGUCAGAAAGUGGGAGGAAAUGACAAAAUGGAUAAACACUGUAGAAUUUCUAAAUUAGCCAGGAGAAAGUAAAAAAUAAGGAAAGCAAAAAAAAGAAAAAGAGAGGAGAAGGGGAUACCCUUGGUAAAUGGUGAACUUAAAGUAGAAUGAAAGGAAUAAAAGGGAGACUAACAAUAUAGUUAUUAUGAAAUGUAAAUGGGCUGAGUUUCCCUGUUGAAAGACAGUAUGCAUUGAGUUAAAAAAAAAAAACCGUUAUAUGCUGUUGAACAAGAAAUACACUUAAAAUGCUUUCAAAAGGCUUGAAAAUUUUAAAGAAUGGUCAAAUGAAAAUAUAUAAACGAGAAAGCGUAAAUUGUAUCACUAAGAAGCUAGGCUGAAUAAAUUAUGUCACAAACUUAUUUACACCUAGGGAUACAGCUACUAAGUGUAUCAAGCAAAAACUACUAGCCAUGCAAUGAGAACUUGAUUUCUUUAAAUAUUUGUUAUGAUGGAAGAUAAGAAUUCGAUUGUUUAUUGUUCCAAAAGCAGAUAAGAUGAUCUUAGAAUUCAUGUGGGAGAGUAAAUGUCCAAAAUAGCUAAGAAAAUCACAUAAAGGAAGACAACUGAGGAAUUUCACGAGAUGUGGCAUAUUUUAUGAGAUGUAGCAUAAGUUUCUCAAGAAAGCUCCUGAAUGCCUGGGCUUGGGGCACAGAAAGGUCUGUGGAAGGACUCAGGCGGGGCGCUGCUGUGGAGAGGGUGACUCUGAGCAGAUCAGCUGAGGAUGCCACCAUCAGGAGGGAGACCAGGGUAGAGCGCACCCUGCUGGGUGCUCUGAUGGAGGGUGAGACCAGCAACAGGACAUGUAAAAUCUGCUAUGGCUCAGAUUUCCCUCUCUAGGAUUGGGGAACAUGCAGAGAAAUGUGAAUUGACUAACCAGUGUUUGAAUAUUCAUUCAAGAAACAGAUAAUACAGGCAGGAUACUGGCGAUGAUGUAGUUUUCCUUUGGCGGCAGCUACUGGACAAGACAUUUUCCUUUAAGAGCAUAUGUAAAUUUCAUGGCUCAGAUUUAAAGGUGUUGGAACUGACUGGGUCCUCUCAAAACCCAGUUUAUGGCCCAAAUUCACAGUUUCUCAGUUAUGUAUAGAUAUAUGUAUAAACAUAUAUAUAUUAUGAAAGAAACAUCUAUGUAGAAGAUCUAUCUAUAGCUAGAUAAUCUGUACAUAGGUAUAUACACACAUGUACAUACACAUGUAUAUACAUGUAUAUAUGUCAAUGAAACAUUUCCACAAAUGUUUUUUCAGGGCAUUGGAAGAAGGAGGAAAAAACUAAGAUAUGAAAAAAAAAAAAACCAAGAUAUGGUGCCUCCCUUAGAGAAAAGCACACUAUUGUUAGAGCAGUGGGGAAGGCUUACUGAUAAAUGUGAUUGGUUUCACCUAAGUUUCCUACCUAGAAGUGGAGCCACCGACAUGGUUACUAGAAGGACUCCACAAAACCUCCACCUAACCUUUCUUCCAUGAUUAAUUUAAAAAAAAAAAAAAAAAGUAGAGAUUGACUUGA